rnacentral:rRNA from 1 species
CCUGCCUCAAAGAGGGGGACAACAGUUGGAAACGACUGCUAAUACCGCAUAAGCCCACGGGUCGGCAUCGACCAGGGGGAAAAGGAGCAAUCCGCUUUGAGAUGGCCUCGCGUCCGAUUAGCUAGUUGGUGAGGUAACGGCCCACCAAGGCAACGAUCGGUAGCCGGACUGAGAGGUUGAACGGCCACAUUGGGACUGAGACACGGCCCAGACUCCUACGGGAGGCAGCAGUGGGGAAUAUUGCACAAUGGGGGAAACCCUGAUGCAGCGACGCCGCGUGGAGGAAGAAGGUCUUCGGAUUGUAAACUCCUGUUGUUGAGGAAGAUAAUGACGGUACUCAACAAGGAAGUGACGGCUAACUACGUGCCAGCAGCCGCGGUAAAACGUAGGUCACAAGCGUUGUCCGGAAUUACUGGGUGUAAAGGGAGCGCAGGCGGGAAGACAAGUUGGAAGUGAAAUCCAUGGGCUCAACCCAUGAACUGCUUUCAAAACUGUUUUUCUUGAGUAGUGCAGAGGUAGGCGGAAUUCCCGGUGUAGCGGUGGAAUGCGUAGAUAUCGGGAGGAACACCAGUGGCGAAGGCGGCCUACUGGGCACCAACUGACGCUGAGGCUCGAAAGUGUGGGUAGCAAACAGGAUUAGAUACCCUGGUAGUCCACACCGUAAACGAUGAUUAAUAGGUGUUGGAGGAUUGACCCCUUCAGUGCCGCAG